rnacentral:rRNA from 1 species
AAUAGAUACCCAGGUAGUCCACGCCGUAAACGAUGAGUGCUAAGUGUUAGAGGGUUUCCGCCCUUUAGUGCUGCAGCUAACGCAUUAAGCACUCCGCCUGGGGAGUACGGUCGCAAGACUGAAACUCAAAGGAAUUGGACGGGGGCCCGCACAAGCGGUGGAGCAUGUGGUUUAAUUCGAAGCAACGCGAAGAACCUUACCAGGUCUUGACAUCCUCUGACAACUCUAGAGAUAGAGCGUUCCCUUCGGGGGACAGAGUGACAGGUGGUGCAUGGUUGUCGUCAGCUCGUGUCGUGAGAUGUUGGGUUAAGUCCCGCUAACGAGCGCAACCCUUGAUCUUAGUUGCCAGCAUUUAGUUGGGCACGUCUAAGGUGACUGCCGGUGACAAACCGGAGGAAGGUGGGGAUGACGUCAAAUCAUCAUGCCCCUUAUGACCUGGGCUACACACGUGCUACAAUGGAUGGUACAAAGGGCUGCAGGACCGCGAGGUCAAGCCAAAUCCCAUAAAACCAUUCUCAGUUCGGAUUGUAGGC